AGGGUUAAAUUCACUGCUUUCCAGUUCUUUGUUGGAUUCUGUCAGGUGGGAUUUUUGGUAUUCUCUAGGACUAAAAUACUGUUUUAUUUUUUCUUUAUUUUGCUUUGUUUUCUGUCAGCUCUAUCAAGAACCGACACAACUGACUACACUCUGCUGAUGACAUACGGAUUGAGUACUGCAUAGAUCUGUGAUUAUUCAUCUGUGCCGAUCCAAAAAGGUCUCUAUAAUAGAGAUGGGGUGUAAAUAUAAUCAGGGGAAAAGAACUUGGGAAAGAGAAAAAUUACCAUAAAGGGCAAAUAAUGGAUAUGCAAAUUGAAUGGUCAGCUUCAGACAAGAAUUUGAAGCGACAGCAGUCAAGAAAAAGAGUCAUGAAUUUGGACGUGCAGAACUUUGUGAACGAAGAGAAGAGUACUGGUCUUUAAUAUGACAGUGACUACAUUCAGAGUUUUGGAAGCUUAUGAACUGCGAAGAUCUGAUAUCAUAUCCCUUCAUUCUUCAUAUCUCAGCUGUCUGUAAAAUUAUACUAAGUAAACAACUCAUAAACAAAGUUUCAUUUCUGUCGUGUAUGCUCCAUUAAUUCGAACUCACAUAAUUAUACAUUUCAUCUACUCUCUUAA